rnacentral:rRNA from 1 species
GGGCGGGACACGUGGUAUCCUGUCUGAAUAUGGGGGGACCAUCCUCCAAGGCUAAAUACUCCUGACUGACCGAUAGUGAACCAGUACCGUGAGGGAAAGGCGAAAAGAACCCCGGCGAGGGGAGUGAAAAAGAACCUGAAACCGUGUACGUACAAGCAGUGGGAGCACGCUUAGGCGUGUGACUGCGUACCUUUUGUAUAAUGGGUCAGCGACUUAUAUUCUGUAGCAAGGUUAACCGAAUAGGGGAGCCGAAGGGAAACCGAGUCUUAACUGGGCGUUAAGUUGCAGGGUAUAGACCCGAAACCCGGUGAUCUAGCCAUGGGCAGGUUGAAGGUUGGGUAACACUAACUGGAGGACCGAACCGACUAAUGUUGAAAAAUUAGCGGAUGACUUGUGGCUGGGGGUGAAAGGCCAAUCAAACCGGGAGAUAGCUGGUUCUCCCCGAAAGCUAUUUAGGUAGCGCCUCGUGAAUUCAUCUCCGGGGGUAGAGCACUGUUUCGGCAAGGGGGUCAUCCCGACUUACCAACCCGAUGCAAACUGCGAAUACCGGAGAAUGUUAUCACGGGAGACACACGGCGGGUGCUAACGUCCGUCGUGAAGAGGGAAACAACCCAGACCGCCAGCUAAGGUCCCAAAGUCAUGGUUAAGUGGGAAACGAUGUGGGAAGGCCCAGACAGCCAGGAUGUUGGCUUAGAAGCAGCCAUCAUUUAAAGAAAGCGUAAUAGCUCACUGGUCGAGUCGGCCUGCGCGGAAGAUGUAACGGGGCUAAACCAUGCACCGAAGCUGCGGCAGCGACGCUUAUGCGUUGUUGGGUAGGGGAGCGUUCUGUAAGCCUGCGAAGGUGUGCUGUGAGGCAUGCUGGAGGUAUCAGAAGUGCGAAUGCUGACAUAAGUAACGAUAAAGCGGGUGAAAAGCCCGCUCGCCGGAAGACCAAGGGUUCCUGUCCAACGUUAAUCGGGGCAGGGUGAGUCGACCCCUAAGGCGAGGCCGAAAGGCGUAGUCGAUGGGAAACAGGUUAAUAUUCCUGUACUUGGUGUUACUGCGAAGGGGGGACGGAGAAGGCUAUGUUGGCCGGGCGACGGUUGUCCCGGUUUAAGCGUGUAGGCUGGUUUUCCAGGCAAAUCCGGAAAAUCAAGGCUGAGGCGUGAUGACGAGGCACUACGGUGCUGAAGCAACAAAUGCCCUGCUUCCAGG